UGGGAAGUGGGAACACUGAGCAAUCACUAGAGAGUUUUUCAGGAACCAAGUCAGAUAGCAGUGAGUGUGAAGAGGAGGUAGUAAGCCUGGCAUCAACUGUGGAGAGGAUAAUGAAGAAUUUACGGCUUGAGAUAACUAAGUUGAGGCGAUCUUUGGAAGAAUCCAGGUCAGACACCGAGCGAUUGCAGAGUCUUACAGAGAAACAAGCUCAAAUUAUUGAAGAAAACAAGUUAUACAUCAAGGAGUUAGAGGAAAGAGAGAGAAUUGUUUUUAAAAAUGAGUUUAAUGUAUACAAUUAGAAGAAACAAAAAUGCAUGCACUUACUUGCUUGGUAGAGGUGUACUUCGGAGCUGCUUGACUAACUGAGAGAGAGUGAUCGGACGGGAGAGGCACUGACUGAGAGAACCGAGAGAGACCCUUGGUCGGUGCUGACUGAGAGAACCGAGAUGCGGGUGGGAGAGGCGCUGGGUUCGUCUGGGUUCCUCUGAGAGAGAGAUUCACAGUGAGCGGGUGGGAGAGGCACUGGGUUCGUCUGGGUUCCUCUGAGAGAGAG